AUGGUAUAUGCUGUGAAUGAGGCGUCAAGAAUGGGGUGCCAAAGAGUCAUCCUGGAGACAAAUGCAGCUGUAUUGAAACAAGCAAUAACAAGUGACCUGUAUGACUACUCGAGUCUAGGCGUAGUGUUUAAAGAAAUUAGAGCAGUGAUGCAAUCAUCCUUCCAAUCCUGUAAAGUAGAAACUUGUCCAAGGGCAUGUAAUAUUCCUGCACACUGUUUAGCUGCUCAUGGUGUAACUAUGGAGCGGAGGAGCUAUCAGAUAUGGCUCGAUCCACUUCCUAGGGAUGUAAAAUACCUUGUCGCUGGUGAGUCC
rnacentral:rRNA from 1 species